CCCUGACUCUGGGAUAAGCGCUGGAAACGGCGUCUAAUACUGGAUAUGUGACNUGACCGCAUGGUCUGCGUCUGGAAAGAAUUUCGGUUGGGGAUGGGCUCGCGGCCUAUCAGCUUGUUGGUGAGGUAAUGGCUCACCAAGGCGUCGACGGGUAGCCGGCCUGAGAGGGUGACCGGCCACACUGGGACUGAGACACGGCCCANACUCCUACGGGAGGCAGCAGUGGGGAAUAUUGCACAAUGGGCGCAAGCCUGAUGCANCAACGCCGCGUGAGGGAUGACGGCCUUCGGGUUGUAAACCUCUUUUAGCAGGGAAGAAGCGAAAGUGACGGUACCUGCAGAAAAAGCGCCGGCUAACUACGUGCCANCAGCCGCGGUAANUACGUAGGGCGCAAGCGUUAUCCGGAAUUAUUGGGCGUAAAGAGCUCGUAGGCGGUUUGUCGCGUCUGCUGUGAAAUCCGGAGGCUCAACCUCCGGCCUGCAGUGGGUACGGGCAGACUAGAGUGCGGUAGGGGNAGAUUGGAAUUCCUGGUGUAGCGGUGGAAUGCGCAGAUAUCAGGAGGAACACCGAUGGCGAAGGCAGAUCUCUGGGCCGUAACUGACGCUGAGGAGCGAAAGGGUGGGGAGCAAACAGGCUUAGAUACCCUGGUAGUCCACCCCGUAAACGUUGGGAACUAGUUGUGGGGUCCAUUCCACGGAUUCCGUGACGCAGCUAACGCAUUAAGUUCCCCGCCNUGGGGNAGUACGGCCGCAAGGCUAAAACUCAAAGGAAUUGACGGGGNACCCGCACAAGCGGCGGAGCAUGCGGAAUUAAUUCGAUGCAACGCGAAGAACCUUACCAAGGCUUGACAUAUACGAGAACGGGCCAGAAAUGGUCAACUCUUUGGACACUCGUAAACAGGUGGUGCAUGGUUGUCGUCAGCUCGUGUCGUGAGAUGUUGGGUUAAGUCCCGCAACGAGCGCAACCCUCGUUCUAUGUUGCCAGCACGUAAUGGUGGGAACUCAUGGGAUACUGCCGGGGUCAACUCGGAGGAAGGUGGGGAUGACGUCAAAUCAUCAUGCCCCUUAUGUCUUGGGCUUCACGCAUGCUACAAUGGCCGGUACAAAGGGCUGCAAUACCGCGAGGUGGAGCGAAUCCCAAAAAGCCGGUCCCAGUUCGGAUUGAGGUCUGCAACUCGACCUCAUGAAGUCGGAGUCGCUAGUAAUCGCAGAUCAGCAACGCUGCGGUGAAUACGUUCCCGGGUCUUGUACACACCGCCC
rnacentral:rRNA from 1 species